rnacentral:rRNA from 1 species
AUGCUGAAGGCUGGACUAAUUACCCCAAGCAUCAGUCCCUUCUCAUCACCAGUGUUGUUAGUCAAAAAGAAAGAUUUGACCUGGCGGUUCUGCGUGGACUUUAGACAUCUGAAUGCCAUUACAGUUAAGAACACAUAUCCCCUGCCGGUAAUCGAUGAACUGCUCGACGAACUAGCAGGAUCCAAGUGGUUCUCGAAGUUGGACCUGCGAGCAGGAUACCACCAGAUCAGACUGCGUCCUGAAGAUGAAGAAAAGACAGCGUUUAAAACGCAUCAAGGACACUUUCAGUUCCGUGUGCUUCCUUACGGAGUAACAUGUGGACCAGCCACGUUUCAAGGGAGCAUG